AGUAGGAGUGGCCAAAUGUGUCUGGAUUAUAUAGGAAGGAACCUCUGGGUUAAAGACAGCCUAGCCCCCCGGGGCUGGAAAAUUUAGGGUUGGCCACAGGGUAUGCCUGGUACGGACUGAAGGAUAUUGGGAAAACCUGGAGGCCAGGCUUGUUUUGAUAUAUAAAAUAUGCACCUCAGUCUCUUGUCCUGGGUCAGAAACCAAACAACCACAGUCCGUAGAAGAGACUCUAGCUUCUACAAAGCUGGCAUUUCCUUGUAACCUCCAUAGCAGAGAAAAGCGGGAAAAUCCCAGACAAGAACCAUCAAUACAGAAGGCUGUGUCACUCCAUGACGGCAAUGGUGGCUCAGAGGUUUGGAGAAGCUGUGUGAGGUGAAAGACCCCCGGAGAGGACCUUUCCCUCAGGAGGAGUCCCAAGCGCCCAAUGACCGAGCCGAGUCCACUCGGAUGCAAUCAGCAAGAGGGUUUAUUGGAAAACACAGAGAAUUGAGAUGUGUUGGCUUUAUCUAGAGCCCACUCACUGGAAGCUCUUCGUGGUUCCUCUGACAGGGUCUCCUGUGAACAAGACCUGCCUCAAAGGAACUAUGCACCCGAGGAUGACCUUGAACUCCUGACCCUCCUGCCUCUCUUCCCCAAGUAGUGAGGAUAAAGGCUUGUGCUGCCAUACCAGGCUUAGAACCCAAGAUUUUUUCUAAGAACAUUUAACACUCAAAUGCAGGAAGAAAAGAUUCAACAGUGACCAAACUGAAGUGCUCCAGAUCCACUAACAAAGCGGCAUGCAUCAUCAGCGAGUGCGUCAUUUACAGGUUCUCGUCACAAACCGGUUAAAACAAACUGUCACGAGAGGGACUAGGCAGCCACUGAGGGUGAGCAGGACCCUCCCAGGCAUCUACAGCAUCACUUCCACAGACAGACAUCUUCUUUUCACUGUGGACCAACAUCUUUGCAUUAAUUUUAUGACUUGUGAGCGUGGUGAUGCACACUCAGUACAGAGAACUCGGGAACCUAAAGAAAACAGAAAGCACAAAUAUGUCUUCUAUAUCACUAACUCCAAGUUCUCCCUCACAGCCCAUGCUGUCUUCCGACGCACACUUUACUGUUUUAAUAAAGUGUAAGAGACAAUGGGGAGACAUCUCCCUGUUUAAUGACUCUUGCCUGGAGUCCCAGGCUUCUCCUCAUACAAACUGUCAGAGCUGGAUACAUCUGCCAGCUCCUCGGUUCUUUCUCUCAUCCUCCUUAAGAAUGGCUCGUCUUGGGACUCGUCACAGCCUCGGAGACCAGAAAGAGGACUUCAGAUCCAGUUUGGCACUUGACCCCGCUCGUCAUGGAGAAGAUCAAGCUGAUCCAGCAGGCCAAGCUGGCUGACAUGGCCACCUGCAUGAACAUCGUGAUGGAGCCGGGCGCCGAGCUGUCCAAUGAGGAACGCACCUGCUGUCGGUGGCUUACAAGAUCGUAAGGACAUGGUUGGGGGCCGCAGGUCUGCCUGGAGGGUCAUUUCAAGCAUUGAGCAAGACCAACACCUCCAACAAGAAAUGUCUCCUGUGUCACAUAUUCUGGAGGUUACAUCUGUCUGUGACAACAGGAGUUUUCUUAUGCAUUCUUCAUUUGCUGCUGUGUAAGUUGACAACUUCCUUCCUAAUAGAAAUGCACUAACACCUCUUGCCUUCAUAGCUCUGGUAUUCACUUUACCUUGUGAUAGAAGUAGUCUGUUGUUGCAGAAUACAAGCAUUGCUUUGGGCAAAUUAAAAUGCAUGUCCUUUCUUAAUCCACUAGAAAGGAGAAACAAAGUACACAAGUCCAAGUCUAAACUUUAGACUUUUCCAUGCAGAUUUGUGCACAUGUGAGGGAGUAUCUGGUGUGUCUAGUGAUUGUUCUUUAGAGAGUUGGACCAUUACAUUGUGUGUUUGCUAAUCAUUGACUGUAGUCCCAAAAAAGCCUCAUGAAGAUGUUAUGCCUUAUGUAACAGCAGAGUAACAUAAAAUAAAACUACAUUUUAUAAAGAAGAAGAAGAAAAUGAAGAAAAUGAAGAAGGAGGAGGAGAAGAGGAAGAAGAAGAAGGAGGAGGAGGAGGAGGAGGAAGAGGAGGAGGAGGAGGAGAAGAAGAAGAAGAAGAAGAAGAAGAAGAAGAAGAAGAAGAAGAAGAAGAAGAAGAAGAAGAAGAAGAAGAAGAAGAAGAAGAAAAUGAAGAAGGAGGAGGAGGGCCCAUCUGUCUCAGUGGUUAAGAGCACUGACUGCUCUUCCAGAGGUCCUGAGUUCAAAUCCCUACAACCACAUGGUGGCUCACAACCAUCUGUAAUGAGAUCUGAUGCCCUCUUCUGGUGUGUCUAAAGACAGCUACA